rnacentral:lncRNA from 1 species
GCGAAGUGUAGAUUUUCCCUAUGAACAUGAUAUCUACCCCUUUGCAUGCAUGAUUGACCCUCCCCAUUUAACUAACAGCCCCGGUAGUUUAUUACAAGACUGUUACUGCCAAGAAUGAAUAAGAAAAAGCAACAUUACGUCAGAAAACUAAAAAUUGCAACCAAGGAGAGCUUGAUUUAGACUUCCUGCCUGGAGCAUGAAAUGAACCAACUCCAAAGAUCAAAUUCCAAAGCCUUUCUCUUAUUUGGGAUGUAUUAGAGUUCCCUAUGAAUCUCAAAUGGACUCCGGGCAGUGCUCACACCCAAAUAUAUUGCAGAAUUGAAUCAUAGUGCAGUGUGGAAGGGCCAGCCCUCAUGUGUCCAAGUUUAGAUGGAACUCAAGGUCCCAAAGUAAGGCUCACAGGAUGGGGGCAGAACUUAGAAUCUAAGAGAGAGCGUAAGUGCAGAGAGGGAUUCUGAGAGGGAGCAAAGACAGGCUAAUGGUGAUACCUAGCAAUUGGGAGUGUUGGCACACCCCACCAGCUUGUGUAGGCCACAUUGUUUGGGGGUCAGGAUCCCCAUAAGGGAUCAAGUACAAACAUGAGCAACAACUUGCAUGUUUCCAUGUUCUGAACUUCAACUCGAAGCAUAUAGAGGGGAACAACGGUGCAUGGAUUCACAGUAGAAACAUAUGCAAAGAAAUUGACAUGCUAAUUAACAUUGAACGUAGAUAGUAAAGUACAUAGGAGUGUAAAGGCUCUAAAAUAAACAUAUUGGGAUAAGGUUGAAAACCAAAACUAGAACAUACCAGUUUCAGGGAAAUAGGAAAAGCAAGCAGUAGUGUUGAAAGCCAAAGUACAAGCAAGUACUCAGAAUACAAUGAUUUUAGAAGAGAACUAUGAGAUUGUAAGUGUCUCAAGUGUGUAAUGUGUGUUAAAAGUGAAGAAGGGACGUACUCUUUUACAGUGUAGAAAACAAGCUGGAAUAGGUAAGAAAAUAGUUUAGAAAUCAAUUACACAAUAAGAAAAUAGUUUGGAAAUCAAUUACACAAGGUUUACCUUUAAUUAAGAGAUUCUGAUUUCAACAGGUAAACUAAUUAAGGAAGGGUAUUAAUCAAACACUUCCAGAGGGGUAAAUACAUAGAGGUAUAUUUAAGGAAAAAGUCUUAAUAGUAUACAAUUUGUGCAAAUAAGGCAAGGGAAUCAAUUUUACAGUUAGUGAAUUAGAAAUUGAAGAUUUUGUAUGAAUGAACCAGCUGACGGGAAAGAUUUUGACUUAAGGAAUAUCAAUACCAAGCAAACAGACUUAUUAAAGUAAUUCUAAAUAUAUCACAAGUUGGAAAACACCUUUGAUAAAAAUUCCUCAUAUAUAAAAGCAUACAGACACGUUAAACAUGAAGAAAUUUGUCAUGCUAUUCAAUAGAAGAGUCUAGUGUAGGGGAAUCAGGAUUCUUUGCAAUCAAGAGAAAUUCACACUUAGUUCACAAACUCAAAAAUAAGUCUGAAAGAGUCUAGGUUUCUCAAACAGAACCAUAGUCCGAUCAUAUGACCAAACUUGGAGUAAAACCCCCAAAUUCUAGGGCUUCCGACUUGAGUCAAAUACAGAGAUGAGGAGGCAAUAGGCUCAAAAAUUUCUUUUCAGAAUCUCAUCAGAAGACAAGCAAACACAAUAGAAAAUUCAAAGCAAACAGAGUGAAGAACUAACUCAAAGCACAAAUGAGAGAACAACAUGGUAGUAGAAGAAACAUAUUUAAGAAAAAACUAUUAGAAGGGACCUAAACAGGGUUCAGUAUAAGAGAAAUCAAUAACACUUAAUAACACAAUAAAAGAUAUAGCAGAAGAAAGUACUUUACAGAAGGAACUUAGCCAAGGUUCGGAAGAGAAAAAAGAUAGUGUAACAUAUAGGAAAACAGUAGAGAAAAUAUGUUUAAAGAGGUCUUCUAGAAGAACUCAAACAAAUUUCAGUAAAAGGCAAACAAAACUUAAGAGCUCGGUAGGAAAUACAUAUAGUAGAAGAACACAAUAUACCGGAAAAAUGUACCAAAAGAACAUAUAGGAAAACACAACAAGAUAAACAUGCGAGCAUUGUAUAGAAACACAGUAGAAAAACAAAGCACAGAAGAACAUGGAUAGUAGAAAGAAAGCAUAACAAAGCAGUAGAAGCACACGCGUGACAAAUACACAUAAAGAAAGGAAAAUAAAAGUCGGAGAAACAUUUUGAACCUUUCAGAAAUCCCUAAAUCAAAUAUAAGUGAUUUUAAAAGGUAAUUUUUCAAAGAAAGAUUUGGGAAAUUGUUUAAAAACCCAAGUAGAACACGGAUAUGUGACAGAUCUAAGAAAAAUCGGAGAGAACCUCGAGUAGUUUGGGUUUCAGAAGCACCUUAGAAUGAGAAAGACUUGAAAAAGAUCCGAUCUGAGUUGGAUAUUUCAGAAGCAGGCUCAUAACACCACAGUGUGUCGGAGAUGGCUAUAGAACCUUGAAUUGGCGGAGAUCUGAACGGACACCAUCAAGGUCAGACCUCAAACCUUCGAAUACCAAGGAUUUAGGAGCAUAAGGAGACGAGUUCAAACCAUCCAUGGCGUGAGAGUCCAUGGAUUCCGGUGAGAUUGAGGUUGAAGAUAGUGAGGGAGGCUAGGGUUUAGAGAGAGCUUGAGAGGAGAAGGAUUUCAG